GUUUGUGCUCCCAGCACUGACUCAGCAGUUGUGAGGGGGAAGAUGGUGUUGGCUGGGGUUAAAAAUAUGGCAGAAGAAAGCACCAGAAGCAGCUCACUCAACCACCUUCUGAGGAAUAUGUAGCUGCUCCUGCUCCCGGUGGCCUUUCUCCCACCCCCACAGGGCUUGGGCAGAGAGGUGGGACAAGCUGAGGUCUGCGACAGGGAGUCAGCACUGUUUCCUGUUGAACCCUGGAUUGCUCUCCCAAUGUGUGGAGCAGACCGCUGAAAUCAGCAACUCCUCUUCCUCUGCAUCUUCUCUCCUCCAUCCCAUCUUUUAGCCUUUCUGGAGCAUCAAACUGGUACCAACACAGCAGGUUCUAAGAGAACAGAGAUAAGUACCAAAAGCUUCCUUUCAGGGGAGAUCAUCAGAGGCCAAGAGGCCAGGCUCCAUUCCCAUCCCUACAGGCCAUUUCUUCUGACCUAGAGUCCGGUGGGUUCGGGUACCUGCAGGGUGUUCUUGGUGUGAGAAGACUUUUUUCUAACCGCAGCUCUAUGCUGGGGAACAUGAGGAAAUAAGGAGUGUCCUGGGCAACCAGUCAGACAGGCCCAGAAGAGUUCAUAAGAGGGACCUUAAAGCAGGGGUAACAAAGAGACCAGGUAGGUCUGGGGGCAGAGAACAGGCCAGUGUAAAUGAGGAGAAAAGAAGGAUGUGCUCAAGAGAGAGACGGGGGAAACAGAAGGCCUGAUUGGGGCCCAAAAUAUGAAUUCAAGCUCUCUCUCAAUAUAUUCUGGGGGAAGUAAAACUCAAGGUCCCUGUGUCCCCCACCAUCCCCAGCUCAGGGCUUUGAGGAGCAGAGGGCACAGACAGCUCAGCCCCAGAGCUCUCCUGUCCCCUCAAUUCCCUCAGCUACAGUCUCACCACCCUGGGCUGUCCUCCUGCCCUGCAGAGCUGGGGUACAGAGCUCCUGUGGCUCACACCUACCUCUUGGCCACCUUUCCUUCACAGCCCUAUAAAUGUCAUCCUGGGGGCCCACUACAUGGGGAGGCUGGAAAGCACCCAGCAGCGCAUAUCUGUGCUCAGAGCAUCUGCCAUCCUGAAUAUGAGCAGCAGAACAACCUGAAUGACAUCGUGUUACCACGGGCACCAUCUACCUGACACUCUGGUUCCCCAGCCCAGCUGUCUUUCUCCCAGCAUGGAGGCUCCAUCCUGUCUUGGGACCAUGAAGGAGGAAGCAGGAGCAGGGUUGCAGAUAAUGGUGGGGGCAAGAGGAUUUCUGGGGGAUUAGAGGAGCACCAGACACACAACCUGCACAUGUGCAGCCUUGUCCUGUGGAAGUGGAAGGUGUCCUGACUUGGGUUGAGCUACAGACAGUAACCAUAGUCAGGACUGAAGCCCAGCGAUGGAAAGAUCCAGAAGCUUGACUCCUCCACCCAGCAGCCUCCCAUCUCACACACACCCCACAUUGAAGGAGCCCACCUGUCCCUAUCUUCUCUGAGGGCUGAGCCUUAGGGCAAAAGGAGUGGGGAGGCCUGAUUUCAUGUCCCUUCCUCCCAUCACCCACAGGGGGACACUAGAGGCCCCCUGGUGUGUCAUCAUGAGGCCCAGGGCAUCGUAUCCUAUGUAAAUAAUAUGGGAACUUCUUCAUUAGUCUUCACCAGAGUUUCCAGCUUCUUUUCCUGGAUAAGAAGAACAAUGAGAUGCCUCAAACAGUGGGGUCAGACUGAGACCCACACCCACCUGUGACCCACUCUUCUUCUCUGGGGCAGAGGCCAGCUCCAGGGGGGUUGCCAGAGCCUUAAUAAAUGGCCACGUCUAGAGUGGAAAUAUCUG
ensembl:lncRNA